CCUAUUUCUUGCCAUCUACCCCCACCUUUGGAGCAGGGAUGGAAACCUACUCCUCCUUCUCUCCUACCCCCAGUGUCUGACUGCCCAGUGUUGGUGCUCCAAGGGCACCAUGGGGGACAAGGGGCAGGCUCCAGGGUUAGAGAGAAUUGAAAGGUUAUGCAGACAUGCUGCCCUCCUCUUCCCUAACAGGAACAAGGAUGGAUUUUCAGCUCCUGAGAUCAUCAAAGGAAAAGAGAGAGAGGCUGGAGCUACAAGAAACUUACAUCCUCCUUAUGUUAGCCCGUAAGACUCCAUCAGUUCUUUCUCUGGAAGCAUAUGAUAUUUUUAUCAUGAAUCUUUGGAAUUGUCUCAGAUCACUGACUUGCUAA
rnacentral:lncRNA from 1 species